UGUUUUAGUGUCAACCACUCUUAGAGGUUGUGCAAUAAGGCGGGGGAGAGACUAUAAGAGAGACGAUUGAUAAGAUAUAGAAAAGCGACAACCCGAUAAAUCCGUCUGCUGGAAAUCUGUUUGCUGGGAACCGUCACCCGUCAAACCUAUCACUCUUUGUAUCUGCCGCCUCACACAGUUGGAGAUGUUCCUUAAAUCAACACCCACCAUUUUCUUCAAAUCCAUUAUUUUCAACCAAGUUCGACUAAACCCGAACCGGUGUCCACCCUAUAAGUAGC
rnacentral:lncRNA from 1 species